rnacentral:rRNA from 1 species
UACGGUGGGGGCAAGCGUUGUUCGGAAUUACUGGGCGUAAAGGGUUUGUAGGUGGCUUGCUAAGUCAGACGUGAAAUCCCUCAGCUUAACUGGGGAACUGCGUCUGAUACUAGCGAGCUUGAGUGCAGGAGAGGAACGCGGAAUUCCAGGUGUAGCGGUGAAAUGCGUAGAUAUCUGGAGGAACACCGGUGGCGAAGGCGGCGUUCUGGACUGCAACUGACACUGAAAAACGAAAGCCAGGGGAGCAAACGGG